rnacentral:rRNA from 1 species
UACGGGGGGGGCAAGCGUUGUUCGGAAUUACUGGGCGUAAAGGGCUCGUAGGCGGCCAACUAAGUCAGACGUGAAAUCCCUCGGCUUAACCGGGGAACUGCAUCUGAUACUGGAUGGCUUGAGAUUGGGAGAGGGAUGCGGAAUUCCAGGUGUAGCGGUGAAAUGCGUAGAUAUCGGAAGGAACACCAGUGGCGAAAGCGGCUUCCUGGUCCGACACCGACGUUCAGGCACGAAAGCGUGGGGAGCAAACAGG